CCCUUAGAUGUUCUGGGCAGCACGCGCGCUACAAUGGUCUUCGCAAACGGAUGCAUUCUCGAAGGAGAAUGCCAAUCUUGGAAUCUAUGCCUUGGUCGGGACAGUUGCUUGCAAUUUUUCGACUCGAACCAGCAAUUCCUUGUAAUCGUGAUUCAUCACAUCACGAUGAAUACGUCCCUGCCCUUUGUACACACCGCCCGUCGCUCCUACCGAUCGAAGAGUUAGGUGAAUUGUUUUGAUCGAUAAGAUUUGACUAUGGUCAACUCUCGUUGUGAAAUUCUGUGAAUCUGACUGUUUAGAGGAAGGAAAAGUCGUAACA
rnacentral:rRNA from 1 species